GCGCCCGUAGCUCAGUGGACAGAGCGGCGGACUUCUAAUCCGCGGGUCCCAGGUUCGAAUCCUGGCGGGCGCA
rnacentral:tRNA from 1 species